UUUGCAUGACAAUUGCCAUUGCUUACAUUAUGUGUUUCUUUGCAGAUGGAAUAGGAAUCAACCCUGCCCAGACUGCAGGGAAUGUGUUUCUAAAGCACGGCUCGGAGCUUCGUCUCAUUCCCAGAGACAGAGUGGGAGGACGAGGAGACUGACUUAUGCAGCAUCUCCCUGUUGAUGGCAUAAUGACUCACACCACAGAAACACACAACACUUUCGACCCAGGAAACACCUCAGCAUGUUUCAUAUUUAUUUUUUCUGGCCCACACAACUGACAGUGACUCACACGAGACUAUGCAUAUUUAAAGUCACGGGUGACACACAGAGUUAAGGAGUCCCUAAAUAGAUGUUAUCAGAUAGAAGCAGAGGUUUGGAUUGGUGGCUAGAGAAAUACCCACAGAGGCUGAGUAAUAAUUGUAAACAUAAGACAGCAUCUUUGGGUUUAGCAAGGUUAAAGGAAAAACCGAGUUGAUAUUAACUUUUGCAUCAUUUCUCAUGUCAAAUAAAGUAACAUAACAGCAACAGAACAUCCUCUUUUAUUGUUGACUUUACCUGCAUUGUAAAUAUGGCUGUUUCAUUUUGUCAAUAAAGGCAUGAGGUGCUUUCAUUGAAUGUUGCUUUUCUAAUGAAGACAGCCUCUUCAUGUUAUAUCUUUUUUCCCCCCAUAAAUCUCAUGUUCCUCAUAUUUCAAACAACUUCCAUUAUAGAUGUCCUCCGGACUCUUGGUUUGGACCAGGUGGAAACAUCAUAAAAGCAUUUUAACCCAUUAAAUUGAACUCUGCAAACACGUG